rnacentral:rRNA from 1 species
UACAGAGGUGGCAAGCGUUGUUCGGAAUUACUGGGCGUAAAGGGCGCGUAGGCGGCCUUCUAAGUCAGACGUGAAAUCCCCCGGCUUAACCUGGGAACUGCGUCUGAUACUGGGAGGCUUGAGUAUGGGAGAGGGAUGUAGAAUUCCAGGUGUAGCGGUGAAAUGCGUAGAUAUCUGGAGGAAUACCGGUGGCGAAGGCGGCAUCCUGGACCAUAACUGACGCUGAGGCGCGAAAGCGUGGGGAGCAAACAGGG